UCAAACUGGAGAUGGCGACCGGCGCACGGGUGAGUAACACGUAUCCAACCUGCCGAUAACUCGAGGAUAGCCUUUCGAAAGAAAGAUUAAUACCCGAUGGCAUAAUAGAACCGCAUGGUUUGAUUAUUAAAGAAUUUCGGUUAUCGAUGGGGAUGCGUUCCAUUAGGCAGUUGGUGGGGUAACGGCCCACCAAACCUUCGAUGGAUAGGGGUUCUGAGAGGAAGGUCCCCCACAUUGGAACUGAGACACGGUCCAAACUCCUACGGGAGGCAGCAUG
rnacentral:rRNA from 1 species